ACUCCCUCGUCUCUCCCGAAUCGCCGCCACCAUUGCCUCGUCUCCCUUGCGCCGACCCUCCCCACCUCCCACCUCAAAGCUCUGGAGGCUGUCAGAUCCGCCAAAUCCCGACCCAACCGUCCCUCUCGCGUCCCAUCCUGAUCUCUUCACGCGGCUCCUCGCCGCUCUACGUGCGGCGGCUCCAUCAGGUAAUGUCCGGCGAAUCCCGCCACCGCGAAGCACAGGCCGAGGUCCCUUCGAUCCGUGGAGCCCUCCCAUCCAGCUAGAUCCAGCGCUUGAGUCCACGACAGCCCACCCGCGACCCAUCCCCCAUGGCUAGGGUUCCGGGCGUCGGAUCUGGUGCCAGUGGCCAUGUCGUUGUCGUCCUCGUCUCAUACGUUGAGUGCAUCCCCUCCCCUGGCUUCAUCAUCUCUCUCUCCCUUGUCUAACCUCUGCUCUUCACUUCUCAUGUAGACGUGCGGGGAGGAACGUCCAGUGGACAACCUUGCUGCGGCUCGGGAUGAAUCAGCCACGAGCUUCCUCCUCCUCCGGCUUCAGCGGAGGUGUAGCAACGGCAGUUUGAAGCAGAUUAGGCGCCCCGGGCGUCUUUGCCAGCGAGGCUGUCGAGUGAAGGAAAUGGCAGUGUGGCGAUUUGUUUUCUAUUCUCCAUCCUUAAAGCUCAUAACAGAAGAAAGAACUAUACAAUUGACUUUAUCACUGUAGUUUUAUUAAGAAAAAAACCUGUCUUUUACGCAUGUAUUGAUUCUCCUCUUGACUCGAUUGUGUUGUAGGGAGUGAAAGCAUCCAGUUGGGGUGGUCUGCAGCUCUGGUCGCCUCCAGCAGCACUACAUAAUCAAAGUUCCAAACAAUAGUACUGCACUGCUGCCUCCAGUCAACCACAACAUAAUCAUUGCUGCACGCACCACUUGUUGUAGGGGGACACCAUGGAAGGUGUACAAAAUUAGCAAUGGAUCUCUAGGCUGGUGAUGACCAUGUAAAUUCGUUUCAGUGGAUUUGGGGCUGUAAUUCGUUCCAAAG